UUUAACAAGUUAGAGGAAUCAACCAAGAAACAAGCAGGAAGAACCUAGCUAUCAUUAUGGUUUACUACUUGACUUCAUUCACUUGACUCAUUAUAUAACCUGAAUUCAUCACACCACACUAACACACACACAACCUUCAAUGGCAUAUUCUCCUUUCUCUAUUUCAUCCUCUGCUUUCAAUGUUCCUCUAAUCAAACAUGAUGUCUUCCUCAGUUUUCGAGGAACAGACAUUCGCACUAAUUUUCUUAGUCAUUUGACAACAGAAUUGAAGCUUGAAAAGCUUCAUCCUGGAGAUGCGGAUGGGGUCUCCAGAUUUCGACGAAGAAGAGGAGAUUCCGUUGAAGGAGGAAACUUCCUUUACCUCUUCUUUGUCUUCGCCGACGAAAGGAGGACUAACUCAUCACAGUAAUCGCAACAGUCAUGCUUUCAGUUUCGAGACCACCACGGCGGCCGUGCUGUUCUGUAUUCGGCUUUGAGGUCAUCAAAGGCUGAUGAGCCAGAUCCAUGGUCGGAAGUCUUUCAUAUGCUGAGCACGCCAGAGGAAAACGAGGACUUUUGGUGGAGCUUUAAUCUUACAGGGAUUGAGCUUUAAGAGUUCCCUUUAAGAGUUCCCUUCUACAAAAGCUAUCUUGACCGGGGAUAUGAAAAGCUUCCCUUGAGCCAAAACUUCCCUCUGCCGUGCCCAUUUUACUAUUCUACCCUUCUCUCUUGCUGCACUUUUCACUUCUUCCGGAAUUGACUUGAUAGUUUCUGGUCUUAUCACCCAUAGAAAUCUCUGUUCGCUGUUCGCUAAGUCGUAGGCCACUUCGAUUAGUUCAUUCUCUUUCCAGCUCGCUGCCGUGCCCAUUUUACUAUUCUACCCUUCUCUCUUGCUGCACUUUUCACUUCUUCCGGAAUUGACUUGAUAGUUUCUGGUCUUAUCACCCAUAGAAAUCUCUGUUCGCUGUUCGCUAAGUCGUAGGCCACUUCGAUUAGUUCAUUCUCUUUCCAGCUCGCUAUGCUUCCUAAACUGAUGUACACAACUGAACGUGGCUGAAUGAACAAGAGCCGCGUUCAGUUUUAUACGUGAGUUUAGGAAGCAUAGCAAGCUGGGAAGAGAAGGAACUAAUCGAAGUAGCGUACGGCUUAGCAAACGGCGAACAAAGGUUUCUAUGGGUGAUAAGAUCAGAAACGAUCAAGUCAAUUCCGGAAGAAGUGAAAAGUGCGGCGAGAGAGAAGGGUAGAAUAGUAAAAUGGGCACCGCAGAAUAAGAUAUUAUAAUAUGCUUUUACUUUUAGGGCUAUAUUGUCACAAUUCAUUGAGUAAUAGAUGAAAAGAUAUGAAUCAUUCCACAGGGCUGGAUUUCAGAAAUCUAACAUGAAAAGAGUAUGGUUCCUCAGCUACUAUGUGCCAUCUCCCAAAUUGAUUUGCUAAAAAUAUGAUGUUUAAACCAUUGUGCUAUCCAAUAAUUUAAAUUGUUCUGUGCUGGUUGUAUUAGUUAGAUUUUUUUUCAAUACUCAAGACACUUGAAACCUUAUUUGCA